rnacentral:sRNA from 1 species
GCAACUUGGAGGAAUGAAUAGCGAAAGCUUAUUACGUAAAAAGUAAGAAUGAUUAUAUCAUAUAAAAUUCUGAAUAUGUUUUGAUAAUGACAAAAUAUGUUUAAAGGUCUUGACCAAUUCACGUGCCAGCAGUCGCGGUAAUACGUGUAAGACAAGUGUUAUUCAUCUUUAAUAGGUUUAAAGGGUACCUAGACGGUAAAAAAAGCCAGUAAGGGAACUAUUUUACUAGAGUUUUAUAGGAGGUGUGAAAACUAUCGUACGGAGGGUGUAGUGAUAAAAUACGUUGAUACCUAACGGACUGUCAACGGCGAAAGCGUUAUCCUAUGUAUAAACUGACGUUGAGGGACGAAGGCUAGGGUCACCAAAAGGAUUAGAUACCCAAGCAGUCCUAGCAGACAAUUAUGAAUGCCAUAUGUAAUAUUUUACAUGUUAUGUAUAAAUGAAAGUGUAAGCAUUUCACCUCAAGAGUAAAGUGGCAACACCGAAACUGAAAUCAUUAGACCGCUUUUGAGACCAGUAGUGAAGUAUGUUGUUUAAUUUGAUGAUCCGCAAACAACCUUACCACAAUUUGAAUAUUUAUAUAUUUAUUAUAUAUUUACAAGCGUUGCACGGCUGUUUUCAGUUAAUGUCGUGAGACUUUGGUUAGAUCCAUUUAAUUAACG